UGAAAAGAUAAUACUUUAUUUAUAGUUUAAUGUUAUUUGCUUGUAAAUAUUUAAUUAGGAUAGAAGUUAGAAUAGGAUCCAUGUAACAAAGUAGCGAGCUGAAGCAUAUAGGUCGUGGAACAUUAUCGGGCAAUACAUCGUACACUUCAAGAAUAGCAACUGCUUCACCUGUGAAAAUCGACGCUUGAGGAGGACACCUAAAUGAGAGGACAAUAUUGUACCGAGGAAUCCACACUGCUGCUCCCACAUAUCUUGCAGGAUCCACCUUUGAAGCGUCAGUAUAAACCGUGAGUUCCAGUGCAAGUGACCGCAAACGUGGAAGCAGCAAAUGGUUGUAGUAAGAACUGGCUUUGAUUAAAAAUCUAUCGGCAAGAUAUUGUCUGCGGAGAGACAAAGGAGGCUCAACACCUUCCACCUGCAUGGCGUUCUUGGGAGAAGAACGCAUAGCUCCGAGUAUGAUCCUCAAACAUUUAGCUUGUAUGAGAUCUAAUUUACCUAGUCCAUCCUUAUUGCAAGGUUCCAUUAAAAAUGACCCAUAGUCUAUAUGACUGCGUAUGAUGGCAUUGUAGAGUAGCUUCUGACAAUAUGGAUGUGAGCCCCACCAAACACCUGACAAUGCUCGCAGAAUAUUGAUAUUUUUUUCACACUUACCUAUUAUAUACUUGUGAUGUGAAA